AACAAACGCUGGCGGCGUGCCUAAUACAUGCGAGUCGAACGAGGAAAGCUUUCGGGUGAGUACUAGUGGCGCACGGGUGAGGAAUAUAUGGGUAAUCUGCCCUCGAGUUGGGGAUAACCAGUCGAAAGACUGGCUAAUACCGAAUAAGACCACAGGAUCUGCGGAUCUAGGGGUUCAAGGUUUUUCGCUUGAGGAUGAGCCCAUACGGGAUUAGCUAGUUGGCGAGGUAAUGGCUCACCAAGGCUACGAUCCCUAACUGGUCUUAGAGGAUGAUCAGUCACACUGGAACUGAGACACGGUCCAGACUCCUACGGGAGGCAGCAGUAGGGAAUAUUGCACAAUGGGGGAAACCCUGAUGCAGCGACGCCGCGUGAGUGAUGAAGGCCUUCGGGUCGUAAAGCUCUGUCGUAUGGGACUAACACAAUGAAGGUACCAUGCAAGAAAGGAUCGGCUAACUUCGUGCCAGCAGCCGCCGUAA
rnacentral:rRNA from 1 species